CAGAGUAAUUCUCAUAGGCCAUAUUUAUUAGCAAUGAUAAAAUAAAACUGUAAAACAAACAUCAAGUUUCCUUCACUCAGGGUUAACGUCUAUAUUAAACUAAUAACUAAAAUGGGAGUGGGAAAAUUUUCUACUUUACAGUUGGUUAAGUGAAAAACAUUCCUAUUAAAUAAAGGUUUGUCAUAAUCUGGGAAAUAGCUGUUACAGGUUUAUUCAUCAUUAGCAAUUUAUGAGAAUUUAUACUUUCCAAACCCUAGCAAAUGAAGAUAUUAAACAUUCUUUUCUACACCUUGGUGUAUCUAACAAAGUAGGACCUAUGAAAAAAA
rnacentral:lncRNA from 1 species